UACAGAGGGUGCGAGCGUUAAUCGGAAUUACUGGGCGUAAAGCGCACGUAGGUGGCGACGUAAGUCAGGUGUGAAAUCCCCAGGCUCAACCUGUGAACUGCAUCCGAUACUGGAUGGCUUGAAUCCGGGAGAGGGAUGCAGAAUUCCAGGUGUAGCGGUGAAAUGCGCAGAUAUCAGGAGGAACACCGGUGGCGAAGGCGGGUCUCUGGGCCGAUACUGACGCUGAGGAGCGAAAGCGUGGGGAGCGAACAGG
rnacentral:rRNA from 1 species